AGCGAACGCUGGCGGCAGGCCUAACACAUGCAAGUCGAACGAACCCUUCGGGGUUAGUGGCGGACGGGUGAGUAACACGUGGGAACGUGCCUUUAGGUUCGGAAUAACUCAGGGAAACUUGUGCUAAUACCGAAUGUGCCCUUCGGGGGAAAGAUUUAUCGCCUUUAGAGCGGCCCGCGUCUGAUUAGCUAGUUGGUGAGGGAAUGGCUCACCAAGGCUACGAUCAGUAGCUGGUCUGAGAGGAUGACCAGCCACAUUGGGACUGAGACACGGCCCAAACUCCUACGGGAGGCAGCAGUGGGGAAUCUUGCGCAAUGGGCGAAAGCCUUACGCAGCCAUGCCGCGUGGAUGAUGAAGGUCUUAGGAUUGUAAAAUCCUUUCACCGGUGAAGAUAAUGACUGUAGCCGGAGAAGAAGCCCCGGCUAACUUCGUGCCAGCCGCCGCGGUAAUAC
rnacentral:rRNA from 1 species